GGUAAGGUGGCCGAGAAGGUAGUGGGUUGUAGCCCCGAGCAUAGAGGUUAAGCCCUCUCCUUACCA
rnacentral:tRNA from 1 species